ACGGAGGGUGCGAGCGUUGUCCGGAAUCACUGGGCGUAAAGGGCGCGUAGGUGGCGCGGGUAGUCGUCGGUGAAAGCUCAGGGCUCAACUCUGAGUCGGCCGGUGAUACUCCCGUGCUCGAGUGUGGCAGAGGGGGGUGGAAUUCCGCGUGUAGCAGUGAAAUGCGUAGAGAUGCGGAGGAACACCGAUGGCGAAGGCAGCCCCCUGGGCUGACACUGACGCUCAGGCACGAAAGCGUGGGGAGCAAACAGGA
rnacentral:rRNA from 1 species